CAAAAUGACAAGAAGAAAUAAUGUUUAAGCUCGCAUUUUAAGAUAAAUAAUUUGCGUGCUUAAAAUACCAAGUUCAACAUUCAAAUUGGAUUUGAGUUAACGGAUCAACAAAAAAACACCAGAUCAUUCUGUGCUUACACGUUGUACUUAUCUCUUAAAUAUAUUUUCAAAGGAUAUUUUUUCGAUUGUACUUAUUAACUGGCGGCG
rnacentral:lncRNA from 1 species